UACGUAGGGGGCUAGCGUUGUCCGGAAUCAUUGGGCGUAAAGCGCGUGUAGGCGGUCCGGUAAGUCCGCUGUGAAAGUCGGGGGCUCAACCCUCGAAUGCCGGUGGAUACUGUCGGGCUAGAGUGCGGAAGAGGCGAGUGGAAUUCCUGGUGUAGCGGUGAAAUGCGCAGAUAUCAGGAGGAACACCGGUGGCGAAGGCGGUUCUCUGGGCAUUACCUGACGCUGAGGAGCGAAAGCGUGGGGAGCAAACAGG
rnacentral:rRNA from 1 species